rnacentral:misc_RNA from 1 species
CAGAGUUGCAAGACUCCCUAAACCAUUGUGAACGUUACCUAUACCGUUGCUUCGGCGGGCGGCCCCGGUUCGCCCCGGCCCCCUGGCCCCAUCGCGGGCGCCCGCCGGAGGUCACCAAACUCUUGAUAAUUAGUGGCCUCUCUGAGUCUUCUGUACUGAAUAAGUCA